rnacentral:lncRNA from 1 species
CUUUUAAGUCGGCCUUUUGUGUCCUUUGCAAAAUGGCUCUCUUGUUUAUCAAAGUCUGUCUUGUACAGUAAGCGUAUCAGAAGUCCAUCUGAAGGAAGCAUACAAAGGCAGGAAGCACUGACAUUUCCCCCCACCAUGAGGUCCCCAAAUCCAUUCCUUCCCCAUCUGCCAAGACAUUCAUCCAUGCUCUAGUUAUUUUCCACAUCACAGUAUUUUCUAAAAUUACUCUUUCCGGAGCCCUUCCUCACUCCUUCACUAUCUCACUUGAGUCUAUCCAUGGCAUCAUUUUUCCCUCUGUUCUCUUAAUCCCCCUUGGUGUACACAGAACUUUCACAGGAAUACUUGCUCCAUCAUUAUCUGUCUCUGUUUCCAGAGUCCACUUAGGCCCUUAGGCUUUGCUCUCCUGACUCUGACUUCCUGAACUGUCCAGAAGUAGUCCCCCUCCUUGCCAGGUCUUGAGAUGUCCACGUGGAACUUUUCGGCCCGGCCCAUUUGUAUAUGAAUGUUUCACGCAACACUCUACUACAUCACUUCUGCUUCUGUGGGUAGCCAGCAGGGCCCUGUGUACAGGGAUCAUCUGUUUAAACUGAAAUCUUGUCAUUUGUUAUGGCAGUUUUAUUUAUGAGCCUGUGUGUUGUAACCUUGUGGCAUAAAUAUUAAAUAAUAAUAUCUCUUGGGCAAAAAAAUAUCAUUCAUGUUAACUGACAACUUCUUAUGAAAAUAUGAAGUAAGCCCAACCACACAAUUUGAUAUUGGCUAAUUCUGAAAUAUGAGUAAAAGCACGGAUUGCUCAACAGGUAGAUGCACAGGCAGAAUUAUAAUUUGCAUUUUUACACCUUCUUGCUUCAAGAAAUGAAACAUUCAAGAAGUAAAAAACGUUAAAAGAAACGGGCUGAGUGGCAAAUUUCUUCAGAAUCAAAUUCUAAUUUCUGCCAGUAUCUCCUAAGCAGUUUUUAGCUUCCAAAAAGAAAGACUCCAAAUAAUGACAAUGCCACAUAAGUGAAAUGAAUUCUGGACAAUGACACUGCUCUUUUUUUUUUUUUUUUUGGCAUUCUGUGAAUUUCCUAUUACAUCAGUUUCAUGAUUCAGCAUUUUCCAUUUCAUUUAUUUACAGUAAUAUAUGGCGAGAUAACCCAAGGUUUCUGCAGGAUUGUGGAACAUAAGUUACUCUGGGCAGGAAGGGUGUCGCCUUCUGUAAAUUUACUAUUGUUUAGGAGAACUCAAAACAGAAGCAAGCAAGCCCUCAAAGGAACUGAGAAAAUUUCUCCCCACUUUGUUCUGAGGGGUCUCAGCUACUCUGGUAUUUAAAAUAAAUGGGUUUUGAAAAAUAGGUUACUGCCCUUUAGUUGAUGACUAAAACAGAAGCCAAGAAGUGUGCAAAUUGCAAACUGACAUGCAUGAGCCAAACAUAUUCUCUGAAAUGACAAUGUUCAAGACGCAGCUAAAGUCACCACUCUGGCGGUAAGCGUGUUACAGAGAACUAGAUUUCUUUCCGGCAUCCGCAACUUGGCUGGAGUGACCAAGGAGGAGUUGAAGAGCGCUGGAGAUGCGAGGAGCUAAGGACUGGCUCAAUUGACUAUAAAGAAUCGAGAAUGUCAGCUGACCAGGCAACCAGGAGACGCUUUCCUGACUUCCACUAUGCACGUGGGCUGCAUAAUUGUGUCUGUGAAGUAAUGAAGAACGUGCUUGCUCUGUAACAUCCAAACGCGUGGCCACCAUUCACAGAUAGUGUCCUUUGGGAAAGGUGUGGGUAUAGAUGGGGAAUGGUCAGUCCUAUGAAUAUGGGGCUAUAAGACAGCAAGGCUAGAAAGUAUCUGUGCUUUCAUUUUUUAAUUUUAUCUAUUUUUUUUUUUUUUUUGCACUAAUGGUUUGCAUUCACAUUGAGGAACUGAGACUGUUUUCAGACUUUUGGCCUACUGAUGACCUUAUGUUCAUAAAAGGAUAGAAGUAUAAUAAGUUGUUUAAUAUAAAACAUACUGAAAUUUUAUUUUCUGUCUCCUUGGAUAUAAAGUUUCCACUUAUCUUGGGUUUAAGUACCUACUCCUCCACAGAGAGGGACCUUGUGCAUGUAGAUUGAUAUUCUCAGGAUGAAAGCAGUACCUACUACAACUAGGAACUCACAGAACAGGAAGACGAUGCUUGUUCCUGAUGGCAUGUAAAUCUAGAUUCACUUCUAGCUGGAAGGAGGCAGGCCAGAAAUUCAGAGUUGUAGGUCCUUGGCCUGGGUGGAUGUGCUACAACAUGAACCAUAAACCUCCAUCACUUAUCUUGGCGGAUAGAAAAUUGGAACUUUGGAGGAAAGUUUCGCAUCAAGCACUCAGACCCAAUAAAUACUCCCACUCCUUGCAGAGCUACCGAACAUUCUGCACUCCAUUUAUCAGGCUACCCAAGGAUGCUUGGAAUGUGCUGGCCGGAGCCACCAUCAGCACUUGCUGAUGACUCUUUGUGGUACCGCCACUCACUUUCUGUACUGUGUUCUUUCUUCUUCCUUCUCUUUUGUUCUUCUGCCCAGCGACACACUUGUGCAGACUGACUUGGUGCCUUGGUGCCUGUUAUGGACUGAAUGCUCGUGUCCUCCCACAUUCAUAUGUCAAAGCACAAUCCCCAAUGUGAUGGUAUUUGGAGAUGGGGCCUCUGGGGGGUGAUCAGGUUUAGCUGUUGUAAAGGUGAGCCCUCCGCGUCUGGAUUAGUGCCCUUAUAAAAAGAGACACAAGCGAGCUUUCUCAUUCUCCUUCCACCAUGUUAAGAUACAAUGAGAAGACGGCCAUCUGGAAAACAGGAAGCAGGCCUUCACCUGCUGUAGGCAAUCAUAACACAAUGAGAAGUAUUGUGUUGGCACUAUCUGGUCCAGGAGCAGCUGGACCUCCCAGAAAGACAUGGGGUCAGCCUCCACCUGGAUCCUGAACUUCCCAGCCUCCAUAAGCAUGAGAAAUAAAUGUCUGUUGCUUAA